rnacentral:rRNA from 1 species
GAGCAGGGCAGGCAGCAACAACUACCCCGCAAGGGGAGUGGCAGACGGGUGAGUAACGCGUGGGAACAUACCCUUUCCUGCGGAAUAGCUCCGGGAAACUGGAAUUAAUACCGCAUACGCCCUACGGGGGAAAGAUUUAUCGGGGAAGGAUUGGCCCGCGUUGGAUUAGCUAGUUGGUGGGGUAAAGGCCUACCAAGGCGACGAUCCAUAGCUGGUCUGAGAGGAUGAUCAGCCACAUUGGGACUGAGACACGGCCCAAACUCCUACGGGAGGCAGCAGUGGGGAAUAUUGGACAAUGGGCGCAAGCCUGAUCCAGCCAUGCCGCGUGAGUGAUGAAGGCCUUAGGGUUGUAAAGCUCUUUCACCGGAGAAGAUAAUGACGGUAUCCGGAGAAGAAGCCCCGGCUAACUUCGUGCCAGCAGCCGCGGUAAUACGAAGGGGGCUAGCGUUGUUCGGAAUUACUGGGCGUAAAGCGCACGUAGGCGGAUAUUUAAGUCAGGGGUGAAAUCCCAGAGCUCAACUCUGGACCUGCCUUUGAUACUGGGUAUCUUGACUAUGGAAUAGGUUAGUGGAAUUCCCAUUGGACAGGUGAACUUCGGAGAAAUUCUGAAGGACAUCACUGGCGAACGCGACAUACUGCUGCCUUACUGACACUGAUGUGCGAAAACGGGGGGAACAAACAGGGUUACAUAUCCUGGUUGUCCCCCCCGUAUUCGAAGCAUGUUAGCCGUCAGGGACCAUACUGCUCGCUGGCGCACUUAAGGUACUAAAAAUUUCGACUGGGUUUGUACGGUCCACACAGAAAUACUCUUAGGACUUGACGAGGCAACGUACAAGGAUGGAGGGUGUGGUCUGAGUCGAAGUCUCGCGCAUAACCUAGAAGUACUUGACCUUCUAAGUGUGCGCUAAGGAGACAUUGUUCGACAAUACGGUGGCCCCUCAACAUGAUGCUGGCUGGCUGUCGUCAGCUCGUCGUCGGCAGACUGUCUGCGGUUAAGCUGUCGCUAUCGAUCUCCAGCGUACAGCACUUAUAUACAGUAUUGACUCGGUCACUCUACGGGACUGGCUGGAGCUAGUUGAGACGAUGUGCAGAAUUACUCAUGUCUCAUGGGCAUAAGAGUAUGAGGCUAGCUCAUG